UUGCUUUAAUACUCUUAAUUCUUUAUGUUUUUUGAGUAUGUAUUUGUUAAGCCUUAUAAGAGAAAAGUUUAUUAACUUAAGGAAUUAUAACAAAGAAGUAACACAUAAUAAAUUUCGAUUUAUUUAGUGUGUAUCAAUCGAGUUUCUGACCUAUCAGCUUUUGAUGUUAGGGUAUUGGCCUAACAUGGCUAUGACGGGUAAA
rnacentral:rRNA from 1 species